GGGGACGUAGCUCAACUGGUAGAGCACCGCCUUUGCACGGCGGGGGUUGAGGGUUCGAGUCCCUUCGUCUCCACCA
rnacentral:tRNA from 1 species